rnacentral:rRNA from 1 species
UACGUAGGGCGCGAGCGUUGUCCGGAAUUAUUGGGCGUAAAGAGCUCGUAGGUGGCUUGUUGCGUCUGCCGUGAAAGCCCGUGGCUUAACUACGGGUCUGCGGUGGAUACGGGCAGGCUAGAGGCUGGUAGGGGCAAGCGGAAUUCCUGGUGUAGCGGUGAAAUGCGCAGAUAUCAGGAGGAACACCGGUGGCGAAGGCGGCUUGCUGGGCCAGUUCUGACGCUGAGAAGCGAAAGCGUGGGGAGCGAACAGG